AAUUCUGUUUUAGGCAUUUAAUCAAUCUCUUUAUCUUCUCACUCUAAUAUUGAUGUGUUGUUAUUUUCCUUAUUCUUGUUUCUUGAAUUUCUGCACUUAUUUUUAGGCAUUUCUGAAAAGACUUGUUGGUUUUUUCCCUCAUAACUUUUAUCUUUGAACUAAACCUCUGUGGCUUAAUGGUAUGUCUGCUCUUUCAGUGAAUAUCCAGAGGUGUGUGCUGGGUUUAUCCAAGGACUCUGAUCAGUGCUCCAAUGUGGGGCACAUUAGCAGGAAGCUGUAUUAAAGCAGAGAAGCUGAGAUCUGAACUGGCACUCCAAUAUAGGAUGCCAUCUGUGGGGAGCAACUGGGAGCAACUCGGACUAGACUAAGUUACUGGAAUUAAGACUUAUUCUAUGCAUCUGCUCUCCCACAAUAUGGCGCUGAGAAGGGAGAAACAGCUUCUACACAGCUGCCUCCAGUUCAACCAAUAAACUGUAGGACCUGCUCCUGAUUGGAGGAGAGCAGCGUACUCGGCGUGUGGGUAGCAGAGUUGGGAUUGGUGGAAGAGGACUAUUAAGGAGAGAGACAACAUGCACCAGGAACAUCUAUCUGAAGGAACACCUGUGCAGCCCCCGAGAGAGCUGGCCAGCGGUGUGCCGCUCCCCCGUGGAAGUGGGGAAAGUGGCUAGGGGGAACCGCCCUUCCACGGAGGUGGAAGGGUCGGUAGCCAACCCGGGAAGAACCAGCAGCAAACCCGGGGAGGGCCGAGCAGACAAAAGAACAGCGCAGGGUCCUGUGUCGUUCCUCCACGAAGACGGGGAGCGACAUAAUGGUGCCGUGACUCAGAUAGGAAACCUAGGAGGGAAGAAACGGGAAGAAGUGGGAAAAUAUCGGAGAGAGAGACUAGCAUACAGCCUAGGGAAAAGCCGGACGAAAAAGGUGCCGGAAGAAGCUAUUGAAAGCCUAGGCAUAGACUCAGAUACGGACUACGGGGGGAAGCUGGGAGAAAUCUCUAAGGUCGAAAGCGAAAGUGAAAGCUAGAACAAACAGACUUGGAUACGGACUGUGGGGAGAAGCCAGGAGAAAUGAGGGAGGAAUAUUGUUGGAAGAAAACUUAGGGAAACAUACCGGGUAGAGAAAAAUGUUAGGGAAAUGGAAGCCGCGGGGGGGGCAGGCCGAGGCGGAAACGUAAGCCAGUUUGGAAUUCUUUAAGUCAGCCUGGGGGGCAAAAGGCGAAAAGUUAAACCAGAGGCGGAAAUGUGGGCCAGGUUGGAAUCCGUCAGAUUAGCCCGGGGAGCAAAAGACAGGAAGCCAAACCAUAAGGCGGAGACGCGUAAGCUAGGUUGAAUUCGCCAGGUUAGCCCGGGGAACUUAGAUUGAAUACCGGUGGUGGCGGAAAUGUAAGCUACGCUCUGUGACUCGCGGAAGCCACCGCGUGCAGAGAGAGCGCGCGGGGCGUGAAUAGAUAGGGAACGUGGGGCUAGUGCGAGGCCGUGCUGCAGACUCGAAGGGCGUGGAGACCGUGGAGCGCACGAAGCCAAGCCGCGCAAAGCCGGGAAGCCGCGCAGAUGAGAGAAGCGCGGGCUGAAGCGGCUCAGAGCCGGGAAGCUGCCGAGAAGCAGCCUCGGGGCGGGCGCCGGGAAGCCGCAGGGAUAAGAAAAACAGAAGUUUAGAAGUAAAAUGAGAGAAAUAGGAAUGCUGGUAGAUAGAAGUAAAAUGGGAGAGAUAGGAAUGCCCGGAGGUAGAGAAAUAGAGAAAAAUAAGGCCUCCCCUCAACAUGGCAAUGAGAGAGCUUGGAUUCGGUCUGCCUGAUUAUGGAGGUGGUGAGCACCUGUGGGCGGCUAGCAGCUUAUGAGCCGCAGGUCACCGAAGACAGGCACGAAUUAACAUCAAUAAGUCUCCCCACAAUACCGCAAUGAGAAGGCUUGGAUUCGGUCUGCCUGAUUAGUAAGGCGGUAAGCACCAGCAGGCAGCUCGACCAGAGUAUGAGCUGCAGGUCACCGAAGAUAGGCACGAAUCAACACCAAUAAGUCUCCCCACAAUACGGCAAUGAGAAGGCUUGGAUUCGGUUUGCCUGAUUGAUAGGACUUGUAAGCACCUGCAGGCAGUUCUAGCAGAGCAGAGCAUGCGCUGCAGGGCACCGAACACAGGCACGCAGCAGCGCCUAAAAACCUCCUCACAGCAUGGCGAAGAGAGGACCCAGAUUCGGUUUGCCUUAUUGGUAGGGCUUGUAAGCACCUGUGGGCAACUCUAGCAAGCAGAGCAGAGUGUGUGCCGCGGGGUACCGAAGACAGGCGCGUAUCAAUGCCAAAAUAAAA